GAUGAAGAACGUAGCGAAAUGCGAUAAGUAAUGUGAAUUGCAGAAUUCAGUGAAUCAUCGAAUCUUUGAACGCACAUUGCGCCCGGCAGUACUCUGCCGGGCAUGCCUGUUCGAGCGUCAUUUCAACCCUCAAGCCCUGCUUGGUGUUGGGGCCCCACGGCUGCCGUGGGCCAUGAAAGGAAGUGGCGGGCUCGCUACAACUCCGAGCGUAGUAAUUCAUUAUCUCGCUUAGGGCGUUGGGCGGCGCUCCAGCCGUUAAAGAACCAUCUUUAACUCAAGGUUGACCUCGGAUCAGGUAGGAAUACCCGCUGAACUUAAGCAUAUCAAUAAGCGGAGGA
rnacentral:misc_RNA from 1 species